rnacentral:rRNA from 1 species
UACGUAGGGGGCUAGCGUUGUCCGGAAUCAUUGGGCGUAAAGCGCGUGUAGGCGGUCCGGUAAGUCCGCUGUGAAAGUCGGGGGCUCAACCCUCGGAUGCCGGUGGAUACUGUCGGGCUUGAGUACGGAAGAGGCGAGUGGAAUUCCUGGUGUAGCGGUGAAAUGCGCAGAUAUCGGGAGGAACACCAGUAGCGAAGGCGGCUUUCUGGACAGAAACUGACGCUGAAUGCGCGAAAGCUAGGGAGCAAACGG